rnacentral:rRNA from 1 species
AGUUGGGCACUCUAAGUUGACUGCCGGUGACAAACCGGAGGAAGGUGGGGAUGACGUCAAAUCAUCAUGCCCCUUAUGAUUUGGGCUACACACGUGCUACAAUGGACAAUACAAAGGGUAGUGAAACCGCGAGGUCAAGCAAAUCCCAUAAAGUUGUUCUCAGUUCGGAUUGUAGUCUGCAACUCGACUAUAUGAAGCUGGAAUCGCUAGUAAUCGUAGAUCAGCAUGCUACGGUGAAUACGU